rnacentral:rRNA from 1 species
UACGGGGGAGGCAAGCGUUGUUCGGAUUUACUGGGCGUAAAGGGCGCGUAGGCGGCGCAACAAGUCACUUGUGAAAUCUCCGGGCUUAACCCGGAGCGGUCAAGUGAUACUGUCGUGCUAGAGUGCGGAAGGGGCUACUGGAAUUCUCGGUGUAGCGGUGAAAUGCGUAGAUAUCGAGAGGAACACCUGCGGCGAAGGCGGGUUGCUGGGCUGACACUGACGCUGAUGCGCGAAAGCCAGGGGAGCGAACGGG